rnacentral:pre_miRNA from 1 species
CAUCCAUGUAUGUAUGUGCCUGGCUCCCUGUAUGCCAUUUGCAGAGCCCAUUGAACUUCGAUAGCCUCCGUGAAUGGCGUAUGAGGAGCCAUGCAUGUAUUCUAUGUAUU